GAGCAUCAAGGAUGUCGCUGUGCCUGGAAAUGGCUCAGUGGGGCAAAUGUCUGCUGAAAUGCUCCUUUAUUCCAGUAAACUCCCAUCUCCUCCUCCUCACAUUGCUGUUCUCAUCAGGUAGCGCCAUUCAGCAGACUUCAGAUACGAUUGUCAGGGGAAAUGAGGAGGUUCUGCUGAGUUGUUUCCAACAGAAAACCGCUUUUAGCUACAUGUACUGGUAUAAGCAAGAAAGGAAGAAGGGUUCGCAGCUCCAGCUGGUGGCUUUUUCGGCAGAAGGUUCCAGAGGAAGGGAUACCAUUCAGAAAGAAUUUGAAGGCCGCUUUGAGAGCCGUGGAAUGAAUGGGUAUGUCUUCAAUCUGACCUUGAAAGACUCAGAGCCGAGCGACACAGGCACCUACUUCUGCGCCAAGCAAGAUUACACAGUGAACCAACUGCACAGGAAACCAGACACAAACCCCUUCAACGGGGAAUAUACAUGA